rnacentral:rRNA from 1 species
CCUACGGGUGGCAGCAGUGGGGAAUAUUGCACAAUGGGGGGAACCCUGAUGCAGCGACGCCGCGUGGGGGAGGAAGGACUUCGGUAUGUAAAGCUCUAUCAGCAGGGAAGAAAAUGACGGUACCUGACUAAGAUGCCCCGGCUAACGACGUGCCAGCAGCCGCGGGACUACGCAGGGGGCAAGCGUUAUCCGGAUUUACUGGGCGUAAAGGGAGCGUAGACGGGGUGCCAAGUAUGAUGUGAAAGGCCGGGGCUCAACCCCGGGACUGCAGUGGAAACUGGCAUGCUGGAGUGCCGGAGGGGCAGGCGGAAUUCCUAGUGUAGCGGUGAAAUGCGUAGAUAUUAGGAGGAACACCGGUGGCGAAGGCGGCUUGCUGGACGGUAACUGACGUUGAGGCUCGAAAGCGUGGGGAGCAAACAGGAUUAGAUACCCCGGUAGUC